rnacentral:rRNA from 1 species
UAGGGAAUCUUCCGCAAUGGACGCAAGUCUGACGGAGCAACGCCGCGUGAGUGAAGAAGGAUUUCGGUUCGUAAAACUCUGUUGUUAGAGAAGAACAGCGCAUAGAGUAACUGUUAUGCGUGUGACGGUAUCUAACCAGAAAGCCACGGCUAACUACGUGCCAGCAGCCGCGGUAAUACGUAGGUGGCAAGCGUUGUCCGGAUUUAUUGGGCGUAAAGCGAGCGCAGGCGGUCAAUUAAGUCUGAUGUGAAAGCCCCCGGCUCAACCGGGGAGGGUCAUUGGAAACUGGUUGACUUGAGUGCAGAAAAGGAGAGUGGAAUUCCAUGUGUAGCGGUGAAAUGCGUAGAUAUAUGGGGGAACACCAGUGGCGAAGGCGACUCUCUGGUCUGUAACUGACGCUGAGGCUCGAAAGCGUGGGUAGCAAACAGG